rnacentral:lncRNA from 1 species
ACCAUUACCCUAUCUCUAAUUUGUUACAAAUUUAGCUGCUAUUCAGGGAUUAAACAUUAGAUCAGAAAUCUAUCGGAUAACAAGGCAGGUCGAGCAUACAAUUAGGUGGUCCAUGCACCAAACAAAGCCAAGCGUACCGAUGACAGCUAUCCAUCUAUCACACUUGGCUGUUUGGUGGAGCCCAAUAACAUCAAGUUGGACAAAUA